rnacentral:tRNA from 1 species
AAGGAAAUCAAUUUAGGCUGCUAACCUAAUAAAGCCCUUAUGCUAUUCCUUU